GUAAACCACAAGGGGUGCAUACGUGCUGAGAGAGAGUUUCGACUCCAACCCUUCGAACCUGUAAGUUAACACUUGCGUAGGAAUGUGGAUAGAAACCGAC
rnacentral:ncRNA from 2 species